GCCUCGGUAGCUCAGUUGGUUAGAGCGCCGGUGUACAGAAACGGUGGACACGGGUUCGAAUCCCAUCUGGGGUCA